AACGAACGCUGGCGGCAUGCCUAACACAUGCAAGUCGAACGAGACCUUCGGGUCUAGUGGCGCACGGGUGCGUAACGCGUGGGAACCUGCCCUUAGGUUCGGAAUAACUCCCCGAAAGGGGUGCUAAUACCGGAUAAUGUCUUCGGACCAAAGAUUUAUCGCCUUUGGAUGGGCCCGCGUUGGAUUAGCUAGUUGGUAGGGUAAAAGCCUACCAAGGCGACGAUCCAUAGCUGGUCUGAGAGGAUGAUCAGCCACACUGGGACUGAGACACGGCCCAGACUCCUAGGGGAGGCAGCAGUGGAGAAUAUUAGACCAUGAGCCAAAGCCUGAUCCAGCAGUGCCGCGUGAGAGAUGAAGGCCUUAGUGUUGUAAAACUCUUUUACCCGGGAUGAUAAUGACAGUACCGGGAGAAUAAGCUCCGGCUAACUCCGUG
rnacentral:rRNA from 1 species